rnacentral:rRNA from 1 species
CCUACGGGAGGCAGCAGUAAGGAAUAUUGGUCAAUGGACGCAAGUCUGAACCAGCCAUGCCGCGUGAAGGAUUAAGGCCCUCUGGGUUGUAAACUUCUUUUAUAGGGGACGAAAAAAGGGCAUUCUUGCUCACUUGACGGUACCCUAGGAAUAAGCACCGGCUAACUCCGUGCCAGCAGCCGCGGUAAUACGGAGGGUGCAAGCGUUAUCCGGAUUUACUGGGUUUAAAGGGUGCGUAGGUGGGUUGGUAAGUCAGUGGUGAAAUCUUCGAGCUUAACUCGGAAACUGCCAUUGAUACUAUCAAUCUUGAAUCAUCUAGAGGUAAGCGGAAUAUGUCAUGUAGCGGUGAAAUGCUUAGAUAUGACAUAGAACACCAAUUGCGAAGGCAGCUUACUAUGGAUGCAUUGACACUGAGGCACGAAAGCGUGGGGAUCAAACAGGAUUAGAUACCCUGGUAGUCCACGCCCUAAACGAUGGAUACUCGACAUUUGUGAUAUACAAUAAAGUGUCUGAGCGAAAGCAUUAAGUAUCCCACCUGGGAAGUACGACCGCAAGGUUGAAACUUAAAGUAGUAGUAGACGNGNGAGAGACGACGACGACGACGACGGAGGGAGGAG